UUCAUCCACUAUUCUGAUUGGUGCCUUUGCUGUGCACCCUCAGGACAUGGGCACUCAUCGGUGAUGCCCCGAAUGCGCACGUGCAUGGUCGUGAUAGGAUGUAUCUCGUUGAUCGACCAAUCGGCACACACUAUUCUUGU
rnacentral:misc_RNA from 1 species